AAGAAGAAAAAGAAGAAAAAAAAACAUAGAGAGAGAAAAGUCAUUUAUUCUUCUCUUUUAUUUUGAUUGGUUUACUGCUUUCACACGGAUCUCUCUCUCUGUCUCUCUCUCUCUCUU
rnacentral:miRNA from 1 species